rnacentral:ncRNA from 1 species
AUUUUUAAAAAAAUAGGGAACUCAGUGCAUGAAGGUUUAACCAGCCUUGCUGAGACCGGUUUGAAUGUAGAGUUUUUAUUAUAUUGGAUACUGUAUAAUAAAAACUUCCUAUUGAUAGCGAUUGAGAUAGGAUAGAAACAGAUGUUUCAAAUACAAGAACCAGGUGCCGAUUUAUAUGAGCAAAAAGUAGACCUAACAAGUCGGAGGGAUAAUUGAGUAAGUUGGCAGUAAUAUGUUGGCUAAUGCGGCUUUUAAGUUCUAUAUAGGGAUAUGUAGAUUACUAAAAGUAAAUCCAAAACAACCUCUUGCCGAUGAUGCUAAGAAAUUAGCGUAUAAGACAAAUCAAGGUCGUACAAGUACCACAAAAGGCGAAAACUUUAAGGUAUUACAAAUAAUUGCUGUAACAAAGGUGAUUACUUCUGUAACGAACUUAAAGCAAGUAUAAUAAAUAUCCUGAAUGGUAUGUGGGAAAGUUAGAGGUAGCAAUCCUCUCAGAGCAUCGUGCAGUUUAACGGUUAGGGGCGACUUAUAGUUUAACUACAAGUGGCAACAGACGGUUUAACUGCUAGGGUAUACAGGUUAGGAUGACGGUCCGAAACCUCAGGUAUAUUUUCUCUGUUACAGAAUAUUGCGUAGUAUAAAGUAAGUACGACGAAGGUCGCCCUAUUAUGUUUUUUUAUA